rnacentral:rRNA from 1 species
GAUGAACGCUAGCGGCAGGCCUAAUACAUGCAAGACGAACGGCAAGAAUUAUAGCAAUAUGAUUCCUAGAGUGUCGUAAGGGUGCGUAACACGUAUGCAAUCUGCCCUGUACAGGAGUAUAGCUCCCCGAAAGGGGAAUUAACGCUCCAUAGGAUAUUUUGGAGGCAUCUUCGAGAUAUUAAAACUGAGGUGGUACAGGAUGAGCAUGCGCAUGAUUAGUUAGUUGGCGGGGUAAAGGCCCACCAAGACGAUGAUCAUUAGGGGAACUGA